UAUGCAAAGCAGCUGUUUUCAAGAACUUGACAACAGAUGCGCUGGGUGUGAUUCUUGAGAAAAAGGAAGCACACAAAGUGAGCUCUCUCCAAGGCUACUUUCUAAACCGUGACAUGGGGAAGUGAAACCCAAACCAAGAGCGGUGGCCUUGCUGGACUAAUGAAACCCAUUGAAGGCUGCAGCUGGAAUUGGCGAGCAGGUACGGGAGAGGAGCUUGGGAGCAGCUUGGUCUGGCUUUUGGUGGAUCUGUUCUUAUUCUUGACCCUCCUGGAUAAAAUCAAGAUUUCCCAGAGGAUGUAUUACGGCAAUAAAACUGAACAUUUUUAUAUUUGGUAAGAGCCAAGGUUGCUUCUUCCAAUGAUUGUUUCACUUGUGCCCUGCCCCACCCCACUUCUCAUACUGGAGCAUAAGGGUUUAAUAUUUAUGGCUAAUGACUGGGGUGGGUAUGGGCUCCUAAGUGGCACAGGUUGGGCUUCCAGAUAAAAUCCAAAACACUCAGGUAAAUUUGAAUCUCAGAUAAACAACAAAUGCUUUUGUAGUAAAAUCAUGUUCCAAAUAUUUAGAGAAAAAUAUUUAUAGUAAAAAAGUAGAGAAAGAGUUCAUUUCUCUUUGGGGUAAAAUAUUUUCCAACAGUUAUAAAAAUCAACCAAAAUAAGAAAUUUUUAACAAACAAAAUAUAUUCAUUGUUUAUCUAAAACUCAACUUUAACUGGGAGUCUUGUACUUUUAUUUGCUAAAUCUGGCAACUCUAGCCAUAUUCACCAUCUAGCCUGGCUUCAAGACUCUUAUCAAGUAAGAAUCCUUUAAGUUUAGCUUUCUGUUAUUUCAUUAAAAUGUUUAUUGCAUAAAUUAUAUUGUGAAACCAA
rnacentral:lncRNA from 1 species